AAACAUAGACGUAAAACUACACCAAACUCCGCCCGGGGAUUACGAACAUAAGUUUAAAACCCAAAGGACUUGGCGGUGCUUAAUAUCCCCCUAGAGGAGCCUGUUCUAGAACCGAUAACCCCCGUUUAACCUCACCCUCCCUUGUUUAGACCGCCUAUAUACCACCGUCGUCAGCUUACCCUGUGAAGGUCUCAUAGUAAGCAAGAAUGGCACACCCCAAAACGUCAGGUCGAGGUGUAGUGUAUGGGAGGGGAAGAAAUGGGCUACAUUCACUACUUAUAGUGAAUCACGAAUGUCAUGUUGAAAUACAUAACUGAAGGAGGAUUUAGCAGUAAGCGGCAAACAGAGUGUCCC
rnacentral:rRNA from 1 species